rnacentral:rRNA from 1 species
AUUGAACGCUGGCGGCAGGCUUAACACAUGCAAGUCGAGCGGAGAUGAGGUGCUUGCACCUUAUCUUAGCGGCGGACGGGUGAGUAAUGCUUAGGAAUCUGCCUAUUAGUGGGGGACAACAUUCCGAAAGGAAUGCUAAUACCGCAUACGUCCUACGGGAGAAAGCAGGGGAUCUUCGGACCUUGCGCUAAUAGAUGAGCCUAAGUCGGAUUAGCUAGUUGGUGGGGUAAAGGCCUACCAAGGCGACGAUCUGUAGCGGGUCUGAGAGGAUGAUCCGCCACACUGGGACUGGGACACGGCCCAGACUCCUACGGGAGGCAGCAGUGGGGAAUAUUGGACAAUGGGGGGAACCCUGAUCCAGCCAUGCCGCGUGUGUGAAGAAGGCCUUAUGGUUGUAAAGCACUUUAAGCGAGGAGGAGGCUACUGAGAUUAAUACUCUUGGAUAGUGGACGUUACUCGCAGAAUAAGCACCGGCUAACUCUGUGCCAGCCGCCGCGGUAAAAC